UGUGUUUUAUUAUAUGGUGUAUAAAAAUUUUUGAUAUUUUAGGAGAUAGUUUAAUUCUGUCAAACGCAA
rnacentral:tRNA from 1 species